rnacentral:tRNA from 1 species
GAUGUAGCAGUAUAGUGGUGAGUAUUCCCGCCUGUCACGCGGGUGACCCGGGUUCGAUGCCCGGCAACGGCG